rnacentral:misc_RNA from 1 species
GAGGGAGCUUGCUCCCGCUGGGUUGCGCAGCAACCCCAUUUUUAUGGGCGCUUCGCACCCCAGCGGGAGCAAGCUCCCUC